rnacentral:rRNA from 1 species
AACGAACGCUGGCGGCAGGCCUAACACAUGCAAGUCGAGCGCCCCGCAAGGGGAGCGGCGGACGGGUGAGUAACGCGUGGGAAUAUGCCCUUUGCUACGGAAUAGUCUCGGGAAACUGGGGGUAAUACCGUAUACGCCCUUUGGGGGAAAGAUUUAUCGGCGAAGGAUUAGCCCGCGUUGGAUUAGGUAGUUGGUGGGGUAAUGGCCUACCAAGCCGACGAUCCAUAGCUGGUUUGAGGGGAUGAUCAGCCACACUGGGACUGAGACACGGCCCAGACUCCUACGGGAGGCAGCAGUGGGGAAUCUUAGACAAUGGGGGCAACCCUGAUCUAGCCAUGCCGCGUGAGUGAUGAAGGCCUUAGGGUUGUAAAGCUCUUUCAGCUGGGAAGAUAAUGACGGUACCAGCAGAAGAAGCCCCGGCUAACUCCGUG